UCUUAUGGAUGAGCAAAGAAAGUGGUUUCUUGAGAUGAAAUCUACUCCUGGGGAAGAUGCUCUGAGGA
rnacentral:pre_miRNA from 1 species